AACUACGUGCCAGCAGCCGCGGUAAUAUGUAGGGGGCGUGCGUUGUCCGGAUUUAUUGGGUGUAAAGGGUGAGUAGGCGGUUGUAUAUGUCAGGAGUAAAAGACUAUGGCUUAACCAUAGUUAGCACUUGAAAGUGUAUGACUUGAGUGCAGGAGAGGUAAAUAGAAUUCCGGGUGUAGCGGUGAAAUGAGUAGAUAUGGAGAAGAACAGCAGUGGCGCUUUUGAUUUACUGGAAGACAAGUGACGUUGAGACAGGAAAGCGCGGGGAGCGAACAGGGAUUAGAUUCCUCCUUAGUCCACUCCGUAAUCAAUAUUCAUUCGCUUGUUUGCGAUAUACACUACGCGGAUGAGUUAAAGCAUUAAGUGAGCCACCUGGGGGGUGCGAUCGCAAGGUUGAAAUUCAAAGGAAUAAACGGGGGCCCGCCCAACCGGAGGAACAUCUGGUUUAUUUGGUUGAUACGGGAGGAACCUUACCUGGCCUUAAAUGGGAAGUGACAGUUCUGGAAACAAAAUUUUUUUUGGACUCUUUUCAAAGUGUGUGCAUGGUUGUUGUCAGCUCGUGCCGUGAGGUGUGGGGUUAAGUCCCAUAACGAGCGCCACCCUUCUCGAUAGUUGCCCGCAUGUAAUGAUGGGGACUCUAUCGAGACUGCCGGUGUAAACCGUGAGGAAGGUGGGGAGGACGUCAAAUCAGCACGCCCCUUACGUCCAGGGCUACACACGUGUUACAAUGGUGGGUACAGAGGGCAGCUACUCAGCGAUGAGAGGAUAAUCUUUAAAACAGAUUUCAUUUCGGAUCGGAGUCGGCAACUCGUCUCCCUGAAGCGGGAUUGGUUCGUAAUUGCAUAUCAUCCAUCAUGCGGUGAAUACGUUCCCGCGCCCCGCACUCACCCCCCCUCAA
rnacentral:rRNA from 1 species